AGUGAAGCACUCACCCUCCAGCAAGGGGAGAACAGUACAGGUAGAGGCAGGAGCUGCAGACUGCACUUGGCUCCCAGCGACUAUGUAACUCAGGGUUGGGGUGGAGGUCCCAGAUGGCUGGAAUGGGCAGCGUCAGGGGCCUUGCACAACCCGGACCACAUGACCAGUCCAAAAGUCUCUGUGGCAACAGAUAAAGAGGGGGUAGCCUUUCUUAUCUGAAGAAAUGGGACAUUUGGCCAAGGCUGUCACAUACAGAACCUGGCUUCUCCUUCUCAGGGUUCAUUCCUGUGCUCUCAUGCCACAGACCAGGAACUGCGGUGAGCAUGAGAAGGGAUGUGCAGUCUGUGCUCCAGGAAGAGGUCCAUGGAUGUUCAGAGCCUCCGGGACACAUGCAGGAGUGAAAACUGAGCCUACAGGUUCUUGGAGACAAGCUGGGAGCAGCAGGAGCUGUGAGGGAUGCAGGGCCUGGCAAGGUGAGAGGAGGUGCCCCAAGCCUGCUCCCAUCAGGAACAAGGCCAGGCUACACCCAGAUCUUCUGUGUUUAGCACCGGACACUUAAAAGAUAAGUAUUGUGAUGGUUUGGAUAAGUAAUCUCCAAAGGCCAUGUGUUAAAUGCUUAGUCCUGGGGCUGUGGCACUCCUGGGAGGUGGUGGGACCUUUAAGGUGUGCAGCCUAGUUGGAGAAAGUUAGAUAACUGGAUAGGACAUGCCUUCAAAGAGGUCUUGGGACCUGGACCCUUCCUCUCUGUCUUUGCUUCCUGGCCACCAUCAAGUGAGCAACCUUCUCUGCCAUCCAUUCCCACUAUGAUGUGCUGCCUCACGACAGGCCCAAAGCAAUGGGGCCCAUUGAUUGUGGACAGAAACCUCUGAGCCAAAAACCCUUUCUUCCCUUGAUUACCUGAGGUAUUUUGUUAGAGUAAUGGAAAACUGACUGAUGCCACAAACACUGAUGCCAACAAAUAUGCAAGCAGUGCAGGCAAGGACAGACAGACAAGGGCAGCAUGUGUCCCUGGGUAAACUGGACUCAAUAGCACUUGGAAGAGCAUUUGGAAUGAUGUGCAAUGUGGGGGGUCAGGGGAAAGAGGCUGCUGAAAUUCCUCCCCAGGAUAUUGGAACCAAACCUGAGGGGCUAAUGGGGUCAGGAGCCCAGUACCCAUAGGCAGAAGGCUAAUUACUGGACCCCAUGCUCCCAGGUAUCUGACAGCCCCGAGGGACACAGACCCUGGCAGAGAGAAGAAUGAGGGAAUUCUCAAAACCAAGGUGCCAAGGGCAGCUCAUCAGGCUUCUGCAUUAGCUCCUUAGGUUUCCAAGUUCAGACAGAAUUUCUAAGAUGUGAAACAAAGACACGAAAGAACAGACAGACAGCGAGAACAAGCAUUAAUUAAAAUCGAGGCUCGUGGCAACUCAUAUGGCUCAGACCCCACAAGCUGGCGCGGCAAGAUUUCGAAUGCGCGCCUAUCCUCUGGCACGCCUUUCCUCUGUCUUCCUGAGCUGAUUCCAUCAUGGCCUUCAGGCUUUUUGGCAAAGCCUACCCAGUUUUAAUUUCCUUCCAAAUGUUGAAGAAAGAACAGCACUGCAUUCUAAUUUACUCAUACGGCUCCUCAGACCACAUGCUCCCAGAGCUGUGCUCAGGACAAGUCACUGAGUGCAAGGCCCUGAGCACUCCACUGGCACAGGCGGGAGGGGGCACUUCUCACUGACACUUGGACAGUCCACUUGGCACUCGCUUCACCCUCUCUGAGCUAUUGGUGGGGACCCCGAGAAGAGUCUGUGCUUGUGAUAGUGAUCUGUUUUCUUUCCUACCAGGGAAUGAACUCCUGUGGACAAAGAACCAAGUAUCCACCUCCCAGGUACGGAGUCCAACUUUCCGAGUGGCUGCUCUGGCUCCUGGGGAAACAGAAGAAAAAAGACAAACCCAGAAGCCCUAAGAAAUCUGGCAUAGUGAACCCCCAAACAGCCAUAGCCCUCUGCAUACACCCAGAGGAUCCUCAAAUGAGAGGGGUGUGUAGGUGGGUGUGUGGGACCUCCCCGCCCCAGACUCUUAGAGGCUGGGAGGCCCGAGGUCCAGUGUGGCUCAGGAAGGCUGGAACUGCUGCCAUCAAAAAUGAGUGACCCAGCUAUUCCCUUCUAGGCAUCCUCCCCAAAGAGUUAAAGAUGUCAUAUUACCAUGAUACAUGCAUACGCAUGUUCAUAACAGCUCAAUUCACAAUAGCGAAAUCUUGGGAGCAGCUUGUAUGUCUAUCGACAGAUAAAUGAAUAAAGAAAAUGUAGUAUUUAUACACAAUGGAGUACUAUUCUGCCAUAAAGAAGGAUAAACCUGAGUUAACUGUAGGAAAAUGAAUGCACCUUGAGACCAUAAUGUUAAGUGAAAUAAAUCAGACACACAAGCUUAAAUGGUUUCUCUUGUGUGAGAAACCCAAAAUGUAAAUAAAGACCAAAAUGAAAGA
ensembl:lincRNA